rnacentral:rRNA from 1 species
UACAGAGGGUGCAAGCGUUAAUCGGAUUUACUGGGCGUAAAGCGUGUGUAGGUGGCUCGCUAAGUCGGUUGUGAAAUCCCUGGGCUCAACCUGGGAAUUGCAGUCGAUACUGGCAAGCUAGAGUUCGGUAGAGGACGGCGGAAUUCCCGGUGUAGCGGUGAAAUGCGUAGAUAUCGAGGAGGAACACCGGUGGCGAAGGCGGGUCUCUGGGCCGAUACUGACGCUGGAGGAGCGAAAGCGUGGGGAGCGAACAGG